UCCCUUCGGGGACUAGUAGAGUGGCGGACGGGUGAGUAACGCGUAGGAAUCUACCCAGUAGUGGGGGAUAACCCGAGGAAACUCGGGCUAAUACCGCAUACAUCCCACGGGAAAAAGAGGGCCUCUGUUUCAUGCUCUCGCUAUUGGAGGAGCCUGCGUCGGAUUAGCUUGUUGGUAGGGUAACGGCCUACCAAGGCGACGAUCCGUAGCUGGUCUGAGAGGACGAUCAGCCACACUGGGACUGAGACACGGCCCAGACUCCUACGGGAGGCAGCAGUGGGGAAUAUUGGACAAUGGGCGCAAGCCUGAUCCAGCCAUGCCGCGUGUGUGAUGAAGGCCUUCGGGUUGUAAAGCACUUUCAGGGGUGAAGAAAAGCACUUGGUCAAUACCCGGGUGUCUUGAC
rnacentral:rRNA from 1 species